UACGGAGGGAGCUAGCGUUGUUCGGAAUUACUGGGCGUAAAGCGCACGUAGGCGGCUUUGUAAGUUAGAGGUGAAAGCCCGGGGCUCAACCCCGGAAUUGCCUUUAAGACUGCAUCGCUUGAAUCCGGGAGAGGUGAGUGGAAUUCCGAGUGUAGAGGUGAAAUUCGUAGAUAUUCGGAAGAACACCAGUGGCGAAGGCGGCUCACUGGCUCAUUACUGACGCUCAGGCGCGAUAGCGUGGGGAUCAAACAGG
rnacentral:rRNA from 1 species